rnacentral:rRNA from 1 species
GUAGCAAAAUGCGAUACCUGGUGUGAAUUGCAGAAUCCCGCGAACCAUCGAGUUUUUGAACGCAAGUUGCGCCCGAGGCCUUCUGGCUGAGGGCACGCCUGCCUGGGCGUCACGCCAAAAGACACUCCCANACCCAUCCUAGGGCGGGGACGUGGAGUUUGGC